rnacentral:lncRNA from 12 species
CUAUCAUAUAACAGAAACUAAACUAAACAAAUUUAGUCUGAAAUUUUCCUCAAGACCAUAUAUAAAAGAUAUCAUACACACUGUGGUGUUAAUGGAUUUUUCUGGAUGGAGUCUUAAAUACUAGAUUUGUCUGGACCUUUCCUCAGACCAUAGCCUUGCUCCCCACAAUUCUACAAUUCUAUGUAUUACUCAGUGUUACCAAGAGAAGUGUAGUCACUAUGUGUCACCAUAUAACAUUCUUGCUCCCUCACUUUGGGACUUUUGUACCAUCUCAGCUAGAGCUUUUUUUGUUUUGUUUUGUUUUGUUUCUCUUCGCAUUUCUUUUAUUCCCCCUCCAACAUUUCUAGGAGAAAACAUCAAAUCUUCAAUUUAUCACCUGUACACCAGAGGGUUAGUAAAAGUGUGUGUGUGUGUGUAUUAAGAUGUGAAAGUGUAGUGACUUAGAAGGGAAGAUUCUCCUUUUUCUAAAGCUUAAAGGAAAAAGUCAAACUUAAAAAAUGGGUGUUUUUAGCUUACUGUUACAUUUGGCACAUAGGAAGUGCUUUAUAAAUUUUUUGCUACAAUUUUUCUUGUAAUUUUUGAUAUUAUUAUUGGUAUAAUAGGAUCCAGUACUUGAAGGUAGGUUGUUUUUAUACCAAAGCACGUGUGGGGAAUAUACUCCCUCGUCCCUACAUUCUCCAUAGGAAGUGGAGAUUGUAUAUAUUAGCUGGAGUUCAUCCAAGCUACUUUUGGGACAAACAGGAUCAUGUGUUUGGAACAGGGGUCAACAGCUGUUACUCCUCUGUGGCAUUCCAGAGAUGUGGACAGAUGUAUUCAGACUGACCUUCCUUAUUCAAUUCCUGGUCUCAUCAGGAUGGAUUCCUUUACUGAUGAUGUCAAACUACACCCAUUUUAUCUCUUCCUCUUGGCUGCGGUCAGCAGGAAGGUAAUGAGAACCGCAUUACUCCUCAUUGCAGAAAGACUUUGUAAGUCACAUAGAAUUCUCGCUGAAUCUUUUUUUUUUUUUGAGGUAUAAUUAACAUAUGAUGUUAUAUUAGUUUCAGGUGUACAACAUACUGAUUCAACAAAUCUAUGCAUUACUCAGUGCUACCAAGAUAAGUCUAGUCAUCAUCUGUCACCAUGCAACAUUAUUAUUAUUAUUAUUAUUAUUUUUUACCAUGCAACAUUAUUAUAGUAGUAUUGACUAUAUUUUUUAUGCUGUACUUUUCAUUUCUGUGACUUCUUUAUUUUAUAACUGGAAGUUUGUACCUCUUAAUCUCUUUUAUCUAUUCAUUCAUCUCCCACCCACCUCCCCUCUGGUAACCGUGCACCGGUUUGUUCUUUGUGUUUGUGUGUUUUUUUGUUUGUUUCUUUGCUUCUUUAUGAAGUUGGUACUAAAGGUCAGAUGAGCCUAUAAAAAGAUACAGUUCUCUUUAAAAACCUUGUUCCUAACCACUGAACUAUCAAUUACAUAUUCAAGCUGUUGGUUGACCAGGCUUGUGUCUGCUUCUAUAAUGACACAUGGAUCUAGACUAAAUGGAUCUCAAAUCCCUGGUUUGCUACUUACUGUGUGAUUAUGGGUAAAUUACUUAACCUCUCUGAGUUUUUUUUCCUUAUCUAUAAAAUGGAGAUAUUAAGAAGUACCCACCUUCUAGGCUUGUUGUGGAGACUAAAUGAGAUAAUGUAUGUGUAAUGCUUAGCUACAGCAGCCUCCAUCAGAAAGCCUCCAGGAAAUGUUAGCUCCAGCUUUUACCACUUGGAAUGGUAGGCCUGCCUUUCUAACUGGUCACAAGGUUUUUAGGUAAUUGUUCUAAGCUACUU